CGAAAUCAAAACUAAACUCUGGCAAACCAAGCAAGGCGACCGAGAUGUGACAGAAUAUUACCUGCAGAUGUCGACGUUGUGGCAAGAACUCGACUUGAGCACCGAAGAAGCAUGGGAUUGCGCAGGCGACAGUGCUCGAUUUAAAACAAGGCUGGAAAACGAAAGGGUCUUCGAAUUCUUGACCGGACUGAACCGUGACCUAGAUGAAGUGAGGGGACGAAUCCUUGGUCGGAAACCCUUACCGUCGACGAGGGAAGUGUUCGCGGAGGUCAGACGGGAAGAAAGCCGGAGAAAAAUUAUGUUGGAGAUGAAUGGAGGUCCUUCAGGCGUGGGUGGAUCGAUUUCUACGAGUGAGUCUUCAGCCCUACUGUCAAAAGGAAUUGGGUCAUCUACCGGGUCGACUAUUGGGCCAUCUAACAGUGGGCUAAAAGGCAAUGGACUGGGGCUUUUAAAAUAUGGCCCAGGAAAUCCUAAUUUUGGGUCAACAAAUGGGCCUGAGAAUACGGGCUUUUAUUUAAAAGGAACGACAAAUGGGUCAGACCCAAGGCAGCAAAAAGGACGACCUUGGUGUGAGCAUUGCCGUAAACCAGGACAUAAUGAAGACACGUGUUGGGAUUUGCAUGGAAAACCCGCCAACUGGAAGCUUAGACAAAGUAAUAAAUACUGUGGAAAUCAGGCAUCAAUUGACUAUCAGGGAGGAAAGUCCAAGGAAUCAAGCGGUGCAUUUAAUGCCGAGCAGAUGGAACAGCUCUACAAAAUGUUUUCUAGCCUACAAUCAUCAAACCAAACCAAUAACCCGUCAAGUUCACUAGCGCACAAAGGUAAUUUUUUGAGGGCAAUCUGCCACUCAACCAAAAACACCCUGGAUCAUUGACUCAGGAGCCUCGGACCACAUGACAGACUCCUACCACUUAUUAUCAUCUUACUCCCCAUGUACCGGUAAUCUCAAGGUUAAAAUUGCAGAUGGAUCUCUGUCCACCAUAACAGGAAAAGGGACUAUUCAAAUCUCUAAUUCUAUAACCUUGGAAUCUGUUCUUCAUGUUCCUAAUUUAUCUUGCAAUUUACUGUCUAUAAGUCAGUUAACAAAAUCCUCAAAUUGUUCUGCUAAAUUUUUCCCAUCUUACUGUGUUUUUCAGGACCUAUCAUCGAGGAAGACGAUUGGCAGUGCUAAAAAAAGUGAAGGACUCUAUUACUUUGACAAGGCAGAUGUGGGUGAACAGUGUCAAAUUAAAAUUUGUGAUUCUGCGUCUAUUCUUAGAAAUAGCGAAAUUAUGUUAUGGCAUUUUAGAAUGGGACACCCCAACUUUCAAUACCUAAAACGUGUACUACCUUCUAUUUUUUUGAAUAAAAAGACAGUUGAUCUUCAAUGUGAAAUUUGUGAACUUGCAAAACAUCAGCGUACACCAUUUCCAAAAUCCGUAUACAAACCAUCAAAGCCAUUCUCUAUGAUUCAUAGAUAUGUAUGGGGUCCCUCAUGAAUUCCAAAUCGUACUCACUCUAAAUGGUUUGUCACAUUCAUUGACGAUCAUACUCGAAUUUGUUGGAUUUACCUACUAAAAGAUAAAUCUGAAGUUCGGGGCGUGUUUGUCAACUACCACACUAUGAUUCAAACGCAGUUCCAAACCAAAAUCCAGAUCUUACACACUGAUAAUGGCACAGAGUACUUCAAUAACAUCUUAGGCGACUAUCUCAGAACCCAUGGCAUAGUUCAUCAAAGUUCAUGCGUUGAUACUCCCCAACAAAAUGGGAUUGCUGAACGUAAAAAUAGACAUAUAUUAGAAGUCGCCCGUUCCCUAAUGUUCACUACAAACAUGCCAAAAAAAAUCUGGGGGGAUGCUGUCCUUACAUCCAUUUACCUCAUCAACCGAAUGCCUAGUCGAGCCCUAAAUUUUGAAACUCCCAUCCAAAAAUUCCGAAAAUAUUUCCCAACUUCUCGUCUUAGCUCUAAUCUACCCCUACGAGUAUUUGGAUGUACUGCCUUCGUACAUGUCUAUCCCCAUCAAAGAAACAAACUUGAUCCCCGGGCAAUUAAAUGUGUCCUAAUUGGCUACUCUCCUACACAAAAAGGAUACAAAUGCUAUGAUCCGCCCACACAACGAACAUUUGUAAGUCUUGAUGUCACCUUUUUCGAAAAUAAACCAUACUUUGAACAAACCUCUCUUCAGGGGGAGACCUUAACAGAAGAUCGGUUCUUUGACUUCAGUCUCUCUUCUCCUGAAUCUUCUCUAUUUAUUCCUCCAUCCGAUGCUAAUAUGCCAUUAACAAAAGAAAAUUUGAAUACAGGGGGAGACGUAGAAAAACAAAAGGAUAAGGAGAUAUUAGUUUACUCACGAAAGCCAAAAUCAAAGUACAUAGAGAAUCUCACGACUGAAGCACCAAAAGAAUCAGAACCGAUGGUAGCUCCACCUGAGAAAGUAUCAGAGUUAUCUAAUACCGACCCAUUGCCCUUAGAAAACAACCACGGUUAUGCACUCAACACCCUAUCUCAAAAUUCAUGCCAUAUACUGCUCUAUCUUCAGAAUUCCGUACUUUUACAGCACGCCUUGACAAUACGAUUAUCCCGAGGAAUAUUCAGGAGGCAUUGGGAGUUCCAGAAUGGAAGGAGGAAGUUUUGGAAGAAAUGCGUGCUUUGGAAAAAAAUAAAACUUGGGAAGUAAUGGAGUUGCUACAAGGAAAGAAACCCGUGGGAUGUAAAUGGGUUUUCAGCUUAAAAUACACAACAGAUGGGACAAUAGAUCGGUAUAAAGCCCGAUUGGUUGCAAAAGGAUAUACUCAAACCUAUGAUAUUGACUACACAGAGACAUUCGCACCAGUAGCAAAGUUGAGUACAAUUCGAGUCCUUCUGUCAAUAGCAGUAAAUUUGUACUGGCCUCUUCAGCAACUUGAUAUUAAAAAUGCAUUCUUGAAUGGGGAAUUGGAGGAAGAAGUAUUUAUGACAUUAUCGCCAGGCUUUUGUAAGUAGGAGGAAAAAGGUCUAGUAUGCAAGCUAAAGAAAUCACUAUAUGGACUCAAACAAUCACCAAGAGCAUGGUUUGAUAGAUUUGCAAAAGUGUUGAAAAAUCAAGGAUAUCGCCAAGGGCAAUCAGAUCACACUAUGUUCCUGCGGCAGUUUGUAGAUGGUACUAAAACUAUUCUGAUCGUAUACGUUGAUGAUAUCAUUUUGACAGGAGACAACAGAAUAGAAAUGGAAAGACUAAAAAUAAGUCUUGCCACUGAAUUUGAAGUAAAGGACUUGGGAAAAAUGCGAUAUUUUCUGGGAAUGGAAGUUGCGAGAUCAAGACGAGGGAUCAGUGUAUCACAACGGAAAUAUGUUCUUGAUCUCCUAAAUGAAACUGGCAUGCUAGGAUGUAAAUCAAGUGAUACACCCAUAGAUAUUGGAAGGAAAAAUGGCAACGAAGGAAAUCCUGUAGAAAUAGACAGAUAUCAAAGAUUGGUUGGAAAAUUGAUUUACCUAUCACACACUAGGCCUGACAUAGCAUUUGCGGUUAAUUUGGUAAGUUAGCACAUGCACUCUCCAAAGGAAAGUCACUUAGAAGCUGUCUAUAAGAUACUGAGAUAUCUCAAGGGCUCCUCAGGAAGGGGGCCAUUCUUCGAAAAGGAUGAAAGAAAAGGAGUGGAAGUCUUCACAGACGCAGAUUGGGCCGGAUCAACAGAUGAUAGGAGAUCUACUACAAGUUACUGCGCAUUUGUAUGGGGAAAUCUACUAACUUGGAGGAGCAAGAAACAAAACGUAGUUGCCAGAAGUAGUGCUGAAAUUGAAUUUAGAGCAGUUGCGCAAGGAAUAUGUGAAGGACUAUGGUUAAAGAAGCUCCUAGAAGAACUAUAUGUCACAAUAAGGCCACCAAUCAAACUUUAUUGUGACAACAAAGCAGCUAUCAACAUCUCUCUUAAUCCAGUUCAACAUGAUCGAACAAAACACGUAGAGGUAGACAGACACUUUAUCAGAGAAAAAGUUGAGGAAGGAAUCAUUUGCAUGACCUAUGUUCCUACACAAGAACAAACUUCAGACAUCUUCACUAAGGGACUAUCAAGACAGAAAUUUGAUGAUUUCAUUUUCAAGUUGGAUAUGAUAAACAUUUAUGAUCCAACUUGAGGGGGAGUGAUGAAAUCACGAUUUUUAGGGAUUAUUUAUUUCCAUAGUUAGAGUUGUAAUUAAAGGAUUGAUUGAUUAUUGUAAUCUUUAGAUUUGGUAGGCAAUUGUUUCUUUCCUUUUAUUUUUCCCUUCUUUGUACUAUAAAAGGGACGAUGUAUAGCUCAUAUUUAAUAAGAAGAAAUUUAUAAUCUCUCUUCAAUUUUAAAAGUUUUCAGCUUUUGAAUCUUAAAACUUGUCUAAUCUCAUAAAACUCCAGUUGUCUCAAAGCAGGAUGUCAGGAGGCUCUAGGCAUUGAGCUAAUUAUGGCUAAAAUGGUAACACUUUUAGUGCAUGUCAGUUUUAAUUUCAUGUUUCUUACUUUUGGCUUUAAUGUUGAUAAUAAAUUGUUUUACUCAAUACCCUUUUUUUUAACUCUACAGAUACUAUGGGGUCCGUGCAACCUUGUUAAUGGUGUUUAUAAAAAUUUGUUAUUGUAUUCAGGAACCUUUGGCGUAGUUGACCAUACUAAUUACGAAGAUAUUAAAUAUGUUGUAUUCAUCUUGAAAGUGUUUAACCUUCUGAGCAUCCACGAAUUUUUCCAAACAAUUUGACAAUUUAUUUUCUUCUUGCUCAGAUCCGAAAACUCGAUGAUAGUGAGUUUAAGAGCCCUUGGAACAGAAGUUCGAACGGGGUACCGUGACGUGGAUAGGUCCGUUCAACAUCCAUGUUUUGGCCUUCGCAAGGUUAUAAUCUUACAUUUAGCGUGAUCCAUGGGGUAGUUUCAUUUCUGGUAUUUAUUUAAUUUUUGAACUAUUUGAACGAGAAAACCUGCUAAUACUUUUGGCGUACCUCUUGUUGCUAAUAUUGAAGCUUGAAUACCCUUUUUUUUAAUUCUAGACAUGUAAAUGUUGCAUAUGUCACUUGAUUGAUAAAGCUGAAACUUUGCUUUCAGCUACUUCAAUACACGACCUAAGUUAACUAAAUCAACAUCUACGAAAAAUAGUGGUGCUAUAUUCAAUUUCUCUUUAAAGAGUUGAAAAAAUUUCAGCCUUUUCAAAUCCCAAAGUCUCUUGCUUUUUUAUCCUCCAAUCAUCCUCUAUGUUUCUCUCUUAAUCUUACACAUUAAACGGUAAUAUAUUCUUGUUUUCGUAUCAAUGUUUUAAAAGCCUUGAAAAAAAUUGUGUUUUCCACUCUUCUCCAACUGCCAUUGACUGUCUUGCUUCAAGGCUUUUGAGUGAAUUUACAAGUUAUUAUCAUUAUACUUGAAUGCCAUUGAAGCUAAAUUUUCUGAGUUGAUUAAAAAAAAACACAGAAUGAGAGGUUCACAUACUAGGAGUAGCUACAUUUAGGUGGUACCGAUGAUAGAUAGUCAUUAAAGGUAAAGUGCAGGUGAUAGAAAUAGUGAUGGUGUGAUAGAACUAGAUGUGGUCCUGGUGGUUAUGUGAUGGACUUGAGUACUGAUAAUUGUGGAUGAAGUUCACGCAAUGGUACGAUGGAGAUAGAAGUUCUACUGGUGAUUCUGGUGGUAAUAAUUUGAUGAUUUCAAGUGGCAUUAUUAAUUUCUUUAAUAAUCAAACAUUAAGCAU
rnacentral:lncRNA from 1 species